rnacentral:rRNA from 1 species
GACGAACGCUGGCGGCGGGCUUAACACAUGCAAGUCGAACGGAAAGGCCCUGCUUUUGUGGGGUGCUCGAGUGGCGAACGGGUGAGUAACACGUGAGUAACCUGCCCUUGACUUUGGGAUAACUUCAGGAAACGGGGGCUAAUACAGGAUAGGAGCUCCUGCUGCAUGGGGGGGGUGGGAAAUUUUCGGCGGUCGGGGAUGGACGCGCGGCUUAUCAGCUUGUUGGUGGGGUAGUGGCUUACCAAGGCUUUGACGGGUCGCCGGCCUGAGAGGGUGACCGGCCACAUUGGGACUGAGAUACGGCCCAGACUCCUACGGGAGGCAGCAGUGGGGAAUAUUGCACAAUGGGCGGAAGCCUGAUGCAGCAACGCCGCGUGCGGGAUGACGGCCUUCGGGUUGUAAACCGCUUUCGCCUGUGACGAAGCGUGUGUGACGGUAAUGGGUAAAUAAGCACCGGCUAACUACGUG